UGAUGUGUUUCNAGCCUGGUGGAGCCUC
rnacentral:piRNA from 1 species